CUUGCAGUCACAACACGCGGGUCCCUGGUGUUCAUUCAAUUUUCAAGGUCGAUCUAUCUGUUGGUACAGUUGCCCAUAUGAACAAGAUAUCUUUGUGUGUGCACUGUUGCUGUUUUAAAUCCUCUAAUUUGCAUUUAAAAGAAUGUAGGAGUUGAGAGAAAAACUGGGGUCAAUGCAAAUGGGGUGGAUUUUAAGCCGGAAGGACAUUUGGGUUUGGACAUUUUAUUAAAACUGACAGCAAUGCCAGCAUUUCCGGAAGUCUGCCACAAAGGGGAGGGGAAAGGGGAAAGGAAAUGAAGACCGAAGAAGAGCAGAAAGAGAGGCAGCAGGGAAAAAUAGAAGGCACUGUGACAAUUCAUUGGGAGAUACAGUAAACCUGGAUAUAGUCACCAAAGUGUAUAGGCAGAGACUAAAGAUCGCAGCAUCAGUGGUGGCCAAGGGACAUGGAGGAACGCUUACAGGACUGCUUUGAGUGAAUGGACUGGACAAUAUUCAGGGAUUCAUCUUUGAGACUGAAUGAAUACACCACAGUUGUCACACACUUCAUCAAGAGUGGAUGAGUGUGUGCCUUCAAGAACAUACCAGCCAUAUU